rnacentral:rRNA from 1 species
UAGGCAUACCCGCACGUGGUAGCCGGAGGGGGAAUAAUUAACAGGGAAACUGCCUGAUGGAGGGGGAUAACUACUGGAAACGGUAGCUAAUACCGCAUAACGUCGCAAGACCAAAGUGGGGGACCUUCGGGCCUCAUGCCAUCAGAUGUGCCCAGAUGGGAUUAGCUAGUAGGUGGGGUAACGGCUCACCUAGGCGACGAUCCCUAGCUGGUCUGAGAGGAUGACCAGCCACACUGGAACUGAGACACGGUCCAGACUCCUACGGGAGGCAGCAGUGGGGAAUAUUGCACAAUGGGCGCAAGCCUGAUGCAGCCAUGCCGCGUGUGUGAAGAAGGCCUUCGGGUUGUAAAGCACUUUCAGCGGGGAGGAAGGCGUUAAGGUUAAUAACCUUGGCGAUUGACGUUACCCGCAGAAGAAGCACCGGCUAACUCCGUGCCAGCAGCCGCGGUAAUACGGAGGGUGCAAGCGUUAAUCGGAAUUACUGGGCGUAAAGCGCACGCAGGCGGUCUGUCAAGUCGGAUGUGAAAUCCCCGGGCUCAACCUGGGAACUGCAUUCGAAACUGGCAGGCUAGAGUCUUGUAGAGGGGGGUAGAAUUCCAGGUGUAGCGGUGAAAUGCGUAGAGAUCUGGAGGAAUACCGGUGGCGAAGGCGGCCCCCUGGACAAAGACUGACGCUCAGGUGCGAAAGCGUGGGGAGCAAACAGGAUUAGAUACCCUGGUAGUCCACGCCGUAAACGAUGUCGAUUUGGAGGUUGUGCCCUUGAGGCGUGGCUUCCGGAGCUAACGCGUUAAAUCGACCGCCUGGGGAGUACGGCCGCAAGGUUAAAACUCAAAUGAAUUGACGGGGGCCCGCACAAGCGGUGGAGCAUGUGGUUUAAUUCGAUGCAACGCGAAGAACCUUACCUGGUCUUGACAUCCACAGAACUUUCCAGAGAUGGAUUGGUGCCUUCGGGAACUGUGAGACAGGUGCUGCAUGGCUGUCGUCAGCUCGUGUUGUGAAAUGUUGGGUUAAGUCCCGCAACGAGCGCAACCCUUAUCCUUUGUUGCCAGCGGUUCGGCCGGGAACUCAAAGGAGACUGCCAGUGAUAAACUGGAGGAAGGUGGGGAUGACGUCAAGUCAUCAUGGCCCUUACGACCAGGGCUACACACGUGCUACAAUGGCAUAUACAAAGAGAAGCGACCUCGCGAGAGCAAGCGGACCUCAUAAAGUAUGUCGUAGUCCGGAUUGGAGUCUGCAACUCGACUCCAUGAAGUCGGAAUCGCUAGUAAUCGUAGAUCAGAAUGCUACGGUGAAUACGUUCCCGGGCCUUGUACACACCGCCUGCCACACCCAGGGAAUUGGUAACAAAGUAACUGUAGGCCUAACACAUGCAAGUCGAACAAGAGCGAGCUAGCCCA